rnacentral:ncRNA from 1 species
GGGAUGUUGUUAUGCACUGGAUUUAUAUAGAGUUUGGUGAUGAGCCAAACCUUUU